rnacentral:rRNA from 1 species
GAUGAACGCUGGCGGCGUGCCUAAUACAUGCCAGUCGAGCGAACAGACGAGGAGCUUGCUCCUCUGACGUUAGCGGCGGACGGGUGAGUAACACGUGGAUAACCUACCUAUAAGACUGGGAUAACUUCGGGAAACCGGAGCUAAUACCGGAUAAUAUAUUGAACCGCAUGGUUCAAUAGUGAAAGACGGAUUUGCUGUCACUUAUAGAUGGAUCCGCGCCGCAUUAGCUAGUUGGUAAGGUAACGGCUUACCAAGGCAACGAUGCGUAGCCGACCUGAGAGGGUGAUCGGCCACACUGGAACUGAGACACGGUCCAGACUCCUACGGGAGGCAGCAGUAGGGAAUCUUCCGCAAUGGGCGAAAGCCUGACGGAGCAACGCCGCGUGAGUGAUGAAGGUCUUCGGAUCGUAAAACUCUGUUAUUAGGGAAGAACAAAUGUGUAAGUAACUAUGCACGUCUUGACGGUACCUAAUCAGAAAGCCACGGCUAACUACGUG